rnacentral:rRNA from 1 species
UACGUAGGGGGCAAGCGUUUGUCCGGAUUUAUUGGGCGUAAAGCGCUCGCAGGUGGUUCGUCGCGUCGUGCGUGAAAGACCCCGGCUCAACUGGGGAGGGUCGUGCGAUACGGGCGAACUGGAGGCCAGUAGGGGGAUGCGGAAUUCCGGGUGUAGUGGUGGAAUGCGUAGAGAUCCGGAGGAACACCAACGGCGAAGGCGGCAUCCUGGACUGGUCCUGACACUCAGGAGCGAAAGCGUGGGGAGCGAUCCGG